AUGGUCGUUCAUGCCCCUGCAUCUCCGCCAGGCACCUCUGCUGAACCACAAAAUUCCCCCGGCCACCGCGAGUCCUCCCCAAAAUGCUCGGUAGAGAUGCACUUGAUGGAGCAAGCAGAUUCCAUGGUUGAGUUUGCUCACCAUACUACGGAUGAAGAGAACAAGAACGUGCAAGGAGACAUCAUGGUUGAGUUUGUUCCAGAUACAAUUAAUCAGGAGGCAGAAGAGUCUCCUGAUGAAGAACGGAGCAGCGAUAUCUCAAUAACCGAUGUCGAUGAAGACUCUAUUGAGUACCUGCGUAGGCAAGUUGUCGAAGACUCCGAGGAAGAAGACAAGCAAGAUGAAGUAUACUAG
rnacentral:rRNA from 1 species